rnacentral:tRNA from 1 species
UCCCUGGUGGUCCAGUGUCUAAGACUCUACGUUCCCAAUUCAGGGGCCCAGGUUCAAUCCCUGGUCAGGGUA